GGUCAGCAGGUUAGGAUGCUACGCCCGAUGCCUGUGAUUAGAUGGUCAUCAGUUGAAGUUCCAGGGUCGGCAGAGUGCUUUCAGCAUUGCGCCCCUGGCCAAGGUUCAUAACUCUAAAAAGGCACUUUUUCAGGGACUGCCUGACACUGAUGUGUGUUGCGUUUGCAUAAACCCAUCUGUUGAAUAGGUAUUGGUUUAACCCUGGAUCAUUUACUGCGCUUUGAUAGGGAAACCCCUUCAGCAAUCCAGGUGUAGCCGUCCUAUACACCAUAAAAGUUACGUCCCAUUUUACUUUCGUGUUGUCACGUUACACCACUGACGCAAUAAUGGGAAGUGAUAUGCGAUACCGCCUAUUGUGAGCGGGAGUGCAGCCGUUCGAUCAUUAACCAUUGCAUGGAAAUUCUUAACCUUUUCUUUCAGUCAUCGCCGCCCAUGUUAGAAGCAAACCAAGUAGGUUCUUUAAGGAUGGAAGACCUGUUUUAGGUGGGCAGUGUUUGUCAUGUUGUCUGCAGAGCUGUGACGAAAUUCUACAGCCACGAGGAUUAAAGAGGGUGGUGUUGUGCAGUACAGUUGCCAUGGAGCUCCCUGAGCUAACGACGGCCGUGGUUUGUCAUGGGGUUUGCCUCACUGUUCACGUGAGGUGCCUGCAUGACAGGACAGAGGCCAAGAAGGCAGAAGAUACACAUUUAAGUGGUUCUGGUUUAUUUAUUUUUUUAUUUUCCUCUUUCUCCAUGUUUAUACCAGCUUUGGCAGCCGGCUGAAUGAAGAUGGACCAGUUUUCCAGGCCUCUUAAAUACCAAAUGCUGCCGGGCAUGCAGUUUAGGCACUGUGACAAAGCCCCCCUUGUUCCCAGAUAUGCAAAGCAACUCAGGUCUCCCACACCAAGCCUGUUCAGGAUGAAGGAAGAGGAAAUCCCUUACAUUUAAAUCUUGUAAUCGGCGAGGCCAUGGAAAGGGCUGAACUUCACUGUGAUGCACAUGAAUCCUCCCGAUUUUGUCUGCCAGUGUGUUUGCAGUUUAUCCCAAUAGAAACCAAGUUCCCGGGACUCAAACAACAGGCACUAAGGGCAAAUUCGGAGACGUCAUCCAGCCAGAAGAGCUUCACGCAGACAGAGCUGUCGGGUGUGUACCCUAAGUACCCUCUUUUGGAAGACAAAAAUGGUGCCUAAUUUCCUGAAGGGUGGAGUCACACGCCGGAAUCCCUUC